GUGAGGAAUUUUCCGCAAUGGGCGAAAGCCUGACGGAGCAAUGCCGCGUGAAGGAUGAAGGCCUAUGGGUUGUAAACUUCUUUUCUCAGAAAAGAAUUAUGACGGUAUCUGAGGAAUAAGCAUCGGCUAACUCUGUGCCAGCAGCCGCGGUAAGACAGAGGAUGCAAGCGUUAUCCGGAAUGAUUGGGCGUAAAGCGUCUGUAGGUUGUUUAAAAAGUAUUCUGUCAAAGAUUAGGGCUUAACCCUAGAUAGGCAGAAUAAACUUUUAAGCUAGAGUGUGGUAGAGGCAGAGAGAAUUCCCGGUGGAGCGGUGAAAUGCGUAGAUAUCGGGAGGAACACCAAAGGCGAAGGCACUCUGCUGGGCCAAUACUAACACUGAGAGACGAAAGCGAGGGGAGCGAAUGGGAUUAGAAACCCCUGUAGUCC
rnacentral:rRNA from 1 species